rnacentral:RNase_P_RNA from 1 species
ACAGUUAACCGGUUUGUCGCUUGCUUAAGGUAAGAGGAAAGUCCGGGCAACACAGAGCAUCCUGCUUCCUAACGGGAAGCUAUCCGUGAGGGUAGGGUAACGUAGAAGAAAAUAACCGCCGGGAUCUCCGGAAACCGGUAAGGGUGAGAAGGUGGAGUAAGAGCCCACCAGUCGCAUGGUGACAUGUCGGGCUGUACGUCCCGGGAGUUGUAAGGUCAUGUAUACCGGCAUUACGAGAGCUGCUCGCUCCACGCCGGAGGGUAGACUGCUAAAGUGGUGCGGAGACGCAUCACGUAGAUAAAUGACAAACCGUUCGGGCAUGUUAUGAACCGAACGACAGAACCCGGCUUACAGGUUGACUGUUUCU